GGAUGGGAGAGGUACAGAGAGAGAGAGGAGUAGAGAAAGGAGGACGGAACGGGAGACGUGCAGUGGGAGAGAGAGGAGUAGAGAGAGAGGAGGACGGGACGGGAAAGGUGCAGAGAGAGGGAGAGAGAGAGGAGCAGAGGAGAGGAGGACAGGAUGGGAGAGGUGCAGAGAGAGAGAGGAGUAGAGGAGAGGAGGACAGGAAGGGAGAGGUGCAGAGAGAGAGAGGAGUAGAGGAGAGGAGGACAGGACUGGAGAGGUGCAGAGAGAGGGAGAGGGAGAGAAGUAGAGGAGAGGAGGACGGGAGGGGAGAGGUGCAGAGAGGGGGAGAGGGGAGUAGAGGAGAGGAGGACAGGAUGGGAGAGGUGCAGAGAGGGGGAGAGAGAGAGGAGUAGAGGAGAGGAGAACGGGAGGGGAGAGGUGCAGAGAGGGG
ensembl:lncRNA